rnacentral:rRNA from 2 species
UUUCAACAACGGAUCUCUUGGCUCUCGCAUCGAUGAAGAACGCAGCGAAAUGCGAUAAGUAAUGUGAAUUGCAGAAUUCAGUGAAUCAUCGAAUCUUUGAACGCACCUUGCGCUCCUUGGUAUUCCGAGGAGCAUGCCUGUUUGAGUGUCA